AUUGAACGCUGGCGGCAGGCCUAACACAUGCAAGUCGAACGAGUGGCGGACGUGUGAGUAAUGUCUGGGAAACUGCCUGAUGGAGGGGGAUAACUACGGGAAACGGUAGCUAAUACCGCAAACCAUCGGAUGUGCCCAGAUGGGAUUAGCGUGUGGGUGGUGGAACGGCUCACCAAGCCGACGACCCAUAGCUGGUGUGAGAGGAGGACCAGCGACAGUGGAACUGAGACGCGGUCUAGACUCCUACGGGAGGGAGCAGUGGGGAAUAUUGCACAAUGGGCGCAAGCCUGAUGCAGCCAUGGCGCGUGUGUGAAGAAGGCCUUCGGGUUGUAAAGCACUUUCAGCGGGGAGGCGGUACCCGAAGAAGAAGCACCGGCUAACUCCGUGCCAGCAGCCGCGGUAAUAC
rnacentral:rRNA from 1 species